UCGCUUCAACAGCGCACAUACUAAAACUGGAACAAUACAGAGAUUAGCAUGGCCCCUGUGCAAGGACGGCAUGCAAAUUCGUGGAGCAUUCCAUAUUUUA
rnacentral:snRNA from 1 species